CCAGUUCAUGUAACCUUUGCAUCUUUACAUGUCUUCGCCUUACUGCCAUUUUAUUUUUGCUGCUUUGGGAUUAGGUUCCGAAGUCAUGCCUUUACCUUACUGAUGUGCUGAUACUGGAUGCAACAUUGUGGACCUUUGGUUCGAGCAUGGCCAGCAUGGCCACGGAUUGUAGGGGAGGAAUGUAUUGCCUAAUGAGUUGUAUGCUUUCUUCGGAUCCUCUGUGCUUCCUAUCACAUCUGGCUUGGCCACCUACAGAUUCUUGGGUCUAGGUGAGCUCUCCAUCCACUCUGCAAGUUUUGCUUGCUCUUUCUGGGCUAUUUGUGUAGGCUAGCCCCUUUCCUAAGUCUCUUAUUUUAUUAUGGAUCAUGGAAGCGGGGAGUGUAACUCACAUUUUUAGAACACUGAUCCUUUAGGU
rnacentral:rRNA from 1 species